rnacentral:lncRNA from 1 species
CUGGGAAUGCCUUGGAGGUCGAACAGUUGAAUGAAAUCGACCGGUUGGUUGGUGACCACCGCUCUAGAAAGUUGAGUGAAGUUUAAUCUACUGUUUCUCUCUGUGGGCUGAUAUUUCUGCAAGGCAGUCUCUGCGAGCUGCUCGACAGUCUCGGGGCUACUACGGGCACAGAGGGAACAUUGGUCGCGGGUUGAGCUGCUUUAAAACAACCUGUCAUCGGAGUAGGCCUAGAUUCAAUCAGAUCAAGCAUUAACCAGGAAUAGCAGACACCAGCAUUGCGGAUGUUUUGGCGGUGUUGGGGUGGAACUGCAUUGGAAGCUGUCAAAUUGGUGUCCAUCUCAAUGAAUCUAGGCGUAGCUACAACUACCACCACUCUCGACGGAGAGUCAUAGAGAAUGCAUUUUGGCAUCAUGGGCGGCAAGGAGGAUGAGGAUUCUUGUUCGGCCAAUCAAGUGUACCCAUAACAGCGAGAAGUACAGUAGUGGUGCUGAGCGUGCUGCAGCAUCCCCUGAUAAAUCAGAAUAAUACAUUUCUAUUUAAAUCCUUUUUAAAUUAGAUUUUUUUUUUUUUCAAAUUGUUUCUUCUCACAAAAGUAGUGCACGUGACCUUUACUACUCUCCCUUUACAGUAGUCUCCCCCCCACAGAAGGAUGUGGCCUUCCACAACUACCUGUCCUCCAUGGAAGGCAUGUGGCCCACCACAACUACCUGUCCUCCAUGGAAGGCAUGUGGCCCACCACAAC